rnacentral:rRNA from 1 species
AAUGAGCCUGCGAGUUGUGGUGUCUGGCAAGGUUAAGCAAACGCGAAGCCGUAGCGAAAGCGAGUCUGAAUAGGGCGCUUAGUCAGAUGCUGCAGACCCGAAACGAAGUGAUCUAUCCAUGAGCAAGUUGAAGCUAGUGUAAGAACUAGUGGAGGACUGAACCCAUAGGCGUUGAAAAGCCCCGGGAUGACUUGUGGAUAGGGGUGAAAGGCCAAUCAAACUUCGUGAUAGCUGGUUCUCUCCGAAAUAUAUUUAGGUAUAGCGUUGUGUCGUAAUAUAAGGGGGUAGAGCACUGAAUGGGCUAGGGCAUACACCAAUGUACCAAACCCUAUCAAACUCCGAAUACCUUAUAUGUAAUCACAGCAGUCAGGCGGCGAGUGAUAAAAUCCGUCGUCAAGAGGGAAACAACCCAGACUACCAGCUAAGGUCCCUAAAUCUUACUUAAGUGGAAAACGAUGUGAAGUUACUUAAACAACCAGGAGGUUGGCUUAGAAGCAGCCAUCCUUUAAAGAAAGCGUAAUAGCUCACUGGUCUAGUGAUUUUGCGCGGAAAAUAUAACGGGGCUAAAGUAAGUACCGAAGCUGUAGACUUGCGCACAA